AUUGAACGCUGGCGGCAUGCUUUACACAUGCAAGUCGAACGGUAACAGGUUAAGCUGACGAGUGGCGAACGGGUGAGUAAUGCAUCGGAACGUGCCCGGUCGUGGGGGAUAACGCAGCGAAAGCUGCGCUAAUACCGCAUACGAUCUGAGGAUGAAAGCGGGGGACCGUAAGGCCUCGCGCGAUCGGAGCGGCCGAUGUCAGAUUAGGUAGUUGGUGGGGUAAAGGCUCACCAAGCCGACGAUCUGUAGCUGGUCUGAGAGGACGACCAGCCACACUGGGACUGAGACACGGCCCAGACUCCUACGGGAGGCAGCAGUGGGGAAUUUUGGACAAUGGGCGCAAGCCUGAUCCAGCAAUGCCGCGUGCAGGAAGAAGGCCCUCGGGUUGUAAACUGCUUUUGUACGGAGCGAAAAGGCUCUCUCUAAUACAGGGGGGCUCAUGACGGUACCGUAAGAAUAAGCACCGGCUAACUACGUGCCAGCAGCCGCGGUAA
rnacentral:rRNA from 1 species